CAUAUUUCCCUUUCUCUCUCCUCUCAAUGCAAGCCUCUCCUUCAUUUGACCAUAAAUGUCAUUACUACACUGAUCAUAUCUUCCGCAUCACCGUUUCAAAUCGUCUUCCAUCAUACCCUUAAUUUGUGCUUUAAUUUAUUAAUUAAUCGUUGACAAUUCGUGUCAAAUAAAUUUUUCUCUCUAAUUCUCCUCUCAGUAACCCUAAACUAUUCUCUUCAACUUAAAUCCUUGGUUACCUGCCUGCCGCCAUUGGACAAAUUUCACAAAGUAUUUCAAUUUUAGGAGAGGGAUAUGAGGCUAAAAAUCAUCAUGUUCCUAUCCUCAGUGCUUUUUCUCUAACAAAUGCAACAAUGAUGUUUUCGUGAAAAAGGAACGUGAUUCAAAUGAUUAAGCUACAAUCAAAUAUUUCAUAUUCCUUGGCUUCUUGAAUCAAAUGACGAUGAUGGAGAAAGUGAAUUCAAGGGAAAUUGCAGGAAUUAUAUUUGGGAUCUUUUUCAUAUGAAAGAGGAUUUCAAAGUAAUUGAUAGAAUGACAUAUGGCUUCAGAGGUUCACCCAGCCACGUCUUCCCUAGGUUCUUCAGCCACCAGGCAUCUUCUCUUCGCAUCCCUUCUUCUUCUUCUUCCUUCAUUUCCGGUAACACCACUUCUCAUCUCAUUCUAAUUGUUAUGUCUUUUCCAUUGUUAGCUUCAUUCAUUUUUCACUUUUCCAUUGCUGCAGAGCACGUUUCUUUUGUAAAAGAUUGGCUGAUUUCUGGCCUAAACUUAGUAUAUAUAGUUUUUGGAUCUCGCGUCGCUGCUCCAACUCCAAAGUCAUCUAUAAAUAUUAAUAAGCCACACCGAUUUGAAUCUCUCUUGCCACGUGGUGUACUCAAGGUAACCAUGCCCUCACAAUGAUUUAGCCUUCAAUGCCAUAAUUAGGCCAAUUUUUAAAAGAAAAAAAAUACACUAAGAUGUUUUUCAAAUGCCUAAUCUCACUCAAUAGUUUGUCGGCAUUGGUGCUGCUUUUUUAAAACCCUAAGCAUAUCAUCAUCUCCCUCUUAGCACUAUCGUCAUUGAAUCAAAGUGCCGCCGGCCCAGGUACUAUCAUCCUACUUGCAUCCUCUCCAUUCUUGCUGUCGUUUCCUUGCGUUGAUUUCUUCAUCAAACCUUCAUGAUCCUAAGUUAGGGUCGUUGUCCUUUAUCUGUCAAACGGUACAGCUGAGUGACUAUCAAUGAUUUUGUUUUCAUUUUUCUCUCAUAAUUGCUCUGUAUUUUCGUUUUUGUCAAGUAUCAAAGUAAAUCGAUUCUUGCCUUUGUUCUGAUUUUUUUAUUCUUCUAUUUGUUUGUAUUGAAUAUUGGUGAUGUUUCAGGACAGUUUCAUGUUGAAUAUUCCAGCACUGGAGUUAAUGUUUUGAUUGUUAGAGGCAGUUUAACAUUACAGUAAAUUGAAGAAAAUAAUCAAGCGUGUGUUUCAAUCUUUUAUUUUUUGCAUUGAUAAUUUUUUUUUGGCCUUCUACUGCUGUGUUUAAGUGUCAAAGCUCAAUUCUCAUUCCACUUAUUUUUACUGCAUUCAGUUUAUAACAAAUAUUAUUUAAAUUUUCUCUUCCUUUAUUGUUUGCUAAUUACUUUAUUUUGCUCUUAUUUUUCAUUCUACAGUAGGCAGAGAACAACAAUUUGACGGUCAUCACUUUAGCAAACCAUUGUCUGAGGAUAAACAUGGUGUUUGAGGAUAAACAUGUCAAUCGUUGCUUUUGCAGGUCCACACAUUCACGCAUUCAGGUAGUCAUUCAAUCAAUAUGGGAUGGCUCAGAUUUAAUAUCGUACGUAGAAAAUAAUGGGCUGCAUGCUGCUUCAAAAUCCUCUUCUGAAACAAAGAUUACACGGUCGAGCAGGCAGCUUUGUUCCACAUGGAACACUUUUGCUCUGCGAGUAGAUCUUAUGUAUCAAUUCUUGCAGGAAUUACUCUUCAAAGCUAUCAAGUAAUAUGAAAGAUUCAAAAGUAUAUUGUCAAAUGAUAAUGCUUUUUGUUUUUGUUCAAAUGAUAGUGCUAUAUCUUUAAUUUUUAUAUGAGAUGAGAUGAGAUGACCCUCCCUUUUUCAAUUUUCAAGGAUUUACUCCUAUUCUAUCCAUGACUAAAUAUCAGAUUUUAAUGGCAUUUUAGAUUUUACUGUUAUUGUUUCUCAAGUU